AAUAAAACGCUAGCGGCGCGCCUAAUGCAUGCAAGUCGAGCGAUGAGGUCCUACGGGGCCAUCAGCGGCAGACGGGUGAGUAACACAUGGGUAACCCACCUUCAAGCCGGGGAUAACGUGUGGAAACGCACGCUAAUACCCGAUGCGUACGCUUAAGAGGAGACUGUGAGCGUAGAAAGUUACGGCGCUUGAAGAGGGGCCUGUGGCCCAUCAGUUAGUUGGUAGGGUAACGGCCUACCAAGGCGAAGACGGGUAGGGGUGUGAGAGCACGGCCCCCCACAAUGGGACUGAGAGACGGCCCAUACUCCUACGGGAGGCAGCAGCAGGGAAUCUUGCGCAAUGGACGGAAGUCUGACGCAGCGACGCCGCGUGGGUGAAGACGGCCUUCGGGUUGUAAAGCCCUUUUCUGGAGGAAGAGGGAGGACGGGUACUCCAGGAAUAAGUGUCGGCUAACUACGUG
rnacentral:rRNA from 1 species